AUGAAACAAUAAAAAGAACUGUCUCUUUGAACUCAGGCUCAUCUAACUAGGGCUACUGGAACUAGAAAUGGAACUGGCCGAGCUACUGCGGAACAAUCCAAUAGUUCACUUUUUUGCAUUAGGAGAGUUCAGUAGAGUAAUUGAACAGAGGUUUCAUAGAGCUAAUGGCAAAUUACCUUACCCAUGUUGCCACCAGAAAACAGGUGGAAUCCAAGUUGGCUACGAGAUAAGAGGGCAUUGUAAUAACUUCCGGAAGCUGCUAGUGCUGCAAGUGGGAAGUGGAGUUAUUGGGGAAUCCGAAAGUGAAUAUAAGUAACAUACCAUAGAUAUUUGUAAACUAACUGCUUACUUACUUAUUACUCCAAUAAGCUAAUGCUCUAGGAGGGAAAAGCACUUUGUGCGGAAUAUGACGUGUACAACUUAUGUAAAAGAGUAAUGAAAAGAGUCAUCUUACUCGAAACUUGAAUCUAGAAUAUCGGCACCCCCAAGAGCGAAAUUGUAAGCUAAUGCACUCCGAACACAAUCCAAUCAGAAGUGUGCUUGCUCGAACUCACGUGUAAGCAAAAAGGUCUGGUCUAUGGUCUCUGUUUCUGUCCUUCUGAAGCACAAAGUACUAUCUAUUUCUGUCCAACUAAAUAAUGCUAGCCCAGCUGUUUCUAUAUCAGAGUAACAAAACACUGCAGCUCUUGCUUCUUUCUUAUUCAUGCUUCUCCUUUCCUUUCCUCUUUCGCACCCUUCACGUUAGCGCCCCUGAAACAAUAAGCAAAUUGACCUGUUCCUAAUACUAGUACUUUAGUAUUUCCCAGUAAUAUUGAACUCACAUGAAAUGGUUAGGGAAAGCAUAGAGAACAAGCAAGCCCUUGUUUGUUUACUUGUUCCACUCAUAUCUUAAUGUUCACUUGUUAACCCCCACUCCAUUAUGCAAAUAUCCGUUUUGCACAUUCUAUGAUAGAUUAACAAUACUUCCCUGCGGACUCAUUUCUUUUAUUAACUAUACUGCUGCAAAAUGUCCAUAUUUGGGUGUGAGUGUAUAGCAGAUUGGAUUGCGCCCUUGUCUUGUGCGUAAGUAAGAACGUUAGCACCGCCCUCACUGCUACAACGCUACAACACUCUUCCUUGAGACAACACCGCAACACCGACCAAAGCCCUUCCCUCAUCAGUAUCAGUACCACCGCUAGAGCAUUAUGUAGUUGGAAGAAUAGGUGUUUAGUUAUACUCUCUUAUGGAAUAUGUUACUUCUAUUCCAUGAAAAUACGAGUAUUCUGAACUAGUUAUUAGUUUGAAUAAGCUGUUUCUUAACUAGGCUCUUCUUUCUUAGUUUGAAUAAGCUGUUUGAUAAGUACUUUUCUUACUCAAAGCUUGUCAAAUGAGGAAACAGGGUUGAUCAUAUAUUCAGUAAUAAAGUGGUAGCGCGCAAGGCUUAUAUGAUUCAAGAUUUAGACAUGGUAAGGUGGUAAAGAGUCAAAGGGGCUGGGGGCCAAGCAACCACUGGGAAUCUGCUCCUCGCGCGUAAGUGUCAGCAACAAGACGUCCUUUCAAGUGUAGUUGAGGUGGGGAAAGAAUCCGGUACUUCUUAAAGCUAAUGCGGAAUGAGUUUCUUCUGUGUUUGUUGUCGACACCAGAGAUAUAGAAUCUACAGUUCCACUUUCAUCUUAUACAGAAGCCGAAUCCAAGUUAUCAUGCCCAAAAGGACUCUCAUAAAGAUGGUGUUGCAGUUCAAUUCAAAAGGGAGGUAUUCUAAGUUGCAGAGGUCAGAUUCCAAAGAAGAGAUCCAAUCUUAUCCGCGUGUUAGGGAGUUCGAAGCAAAGCAAAGAUGUUAUUAGGAACAAACAAACAGGACAAAGCACAGAUUAUAGGCAAAAAAUGCAUUAGUUGAGCCGACAACAGGAUUAGUUUCUUGGGCAACAGCUAAAGCAGGAAUUGAUGCAGCCCUGGUUGUCGCCAAGUUCACUUAGCAACUAGGCAAGUAACUAGUAAGCAGUGAGAAAGUAGUCUGCAGCAAGGGAGGUAAGGAAAGGAUAGUUUGGCAAAAGGGAAACCGGGGUAAGACUGUCCAGGUCCUACUGAAUAAGCGGUUUCUUUACUGGUGGGUUCUAUACCACAUGUGCUCUCAAUAUUCCAUUAAUCAAUCUGAUCUUACGUGCAAGAAAGAUGAUUUGACUGUUGAAGUCGAGGUUGGCAAAAGAUAAGGGAAUAGAGAGUUGAGUAUGUAAACAAAGUAAUAAUAAUAACUUAUAUGCGUAUGCGGUGCAAUAGAGUGGCCGAGAUCAGUAUCAUCUCCUUAAGUUCCUAGAGAAGAGGAAUCCCAAUAGGUAGUUUAAUAUGGAUAUUGGUAAUAAGAGGUCAGAGAAAGAUGCAAUUCUGCGUAGACAUUCAAAUCCUCCGCGCAUUAAGUUCCAUUUAAGAAUUCUUUGUUGCGCUAGGGGAGUUACUGGUUUAGUGUGAAAGUAGAGUUCUUGUGGAAGAAUAAAGUACUGGUGCCGCCCUACCCUAAGUCUACGAUAGAGGGGAGAUUAUUGUCGGAGAGGUAAUUGUGUUGCGGUAAGCAAAGAAAGAGCAGAUGUUGCCGUUAAGUCGGAAGCCGAAAGCCGAUAAGAAAGGUAGAGCUCGCUUGAAAGUGUUGUUGUCGGUUAUCCAAGUAAAUGAGUGAUAGUUUGAAUAGCAGGUGAGGAAUCCGUUUCAAUAGCGGGUGAGGAAUCCGUUUCAAUAGCGGGUGAGGAAUCAGUGCCUUUGCCAGAAGAAGCUUGCUUUGCUCCUAAUGCUAUAGUAUAAGAUGAAAUGAAUCUUUGAGUUUACUCAGCAUCAGGGUCAAUUACUAGUUUUCCUAGGAGCAAGACCAAAGAACUAUUCCAUUACUGUUUGAGUUGACUCGGCUAAAGGAAAAAGUACUGGCCGGUUAAGAGCAGGUGCAAUCGGUUAUGUUUGAGUGAAGUCUACAAGAGCAGGAGCUAGAUCAGAUACAACAUCAAGUAAAGGUCAGGAAGCAACUGACAAAAGGGUUUUAG
rnacentral:lncRNA from 1 species